rnacentral:rRNA from 1 species
AUACGGAGGAUCCGAGCGUUAUCCGGAUUUAUUGGGUUUAAAGGGAGCGUAGGCGGACUAUUAAGUCAGCUGUGAAAGUUUGCGGCUCAACCGUAAAAUUGCAGUUGAUACUGGUCGUCUUGAGUGCAGUAGAGGUAGGCGGAAUUCGUGGUGUAGCAGUGAAAUGCUUAGAUAUCACGAAGAACUCCGAUUGCGAAGGCAGCUUACUGGACUGUAACUGACGCUGAUGCUCGAAAGUGUGGGUAUCAAACAGGAUUAGAUACCCUGGUAGUCCACACAGUAAACGAUGAAUACUCGCUGUUUGCGAUAUACGGCAAGCGGCCAAGCGAAAGCAUUAAGUAUUCCACCUGGGGAGUACGCCGGCAACGGUGAAACUCAAAGGAAUUGACGGGG